rnacentral:rRNA from 1 species
UACGUAGGUGGCAAGCGUUGUCCGGAAUUAUUGGGCGUAAAGCGCGCGCAGGCGGUCCUUUAAGUCUGAUGUGAAAGCCCAGGGCUCAACCCUGGAAGUGCACAUGAUACUACGUGGCUGGAGUACUGAAGAGGAGAGCGGAAUUCCCGGUGUAGAGGUGAAAUUCGUAGAUAUCGGGAGGAACACCAGUGGCGAAGGCGGCUCUCUGGGCAGAUACUGACGCUGAGACGCGAAAGCGUGGGUAGCAAACAGG